GCUAUCUACAAUUUGACUGGGAGCCUCCAGGAAUCUGUCCGUAGAGGAAGAAUGACAGAAAAGACUGAUUUAGGAGGCCAUCUCUGUAGCCAUUUCACUGUGGAGCCAGCUGAAGAGGGGGAGCAGGAAGCAACAGCAGGACAGGUUGAGAUCUCUGCCCAGGCACAUGGUGACGACCUAGAAAGCAAGUUUUAUCUCUUGAGGGGCAGCUGGACCACCUGGAAAUGAAAUUUUACAGGCAUCAGGAGGAA